GGAAACUGAGUGGCGAACGGGUGAGUAACACGUGGGUGACCUACCUUCGAGUGGGGGAUAACGUCCCGAAAGGGACGCUAAUACCGCAUGACAUCCUGCCUUUGAAAAGGCGGAGAUCAAAGCCGGGGAUCGCAAGACCCGGCGCUUGAUGAGGGGCCCGCGUCCGAUUAGCUAGUUGGUGAGGUAAUGGCCCACCAAGGCAACGAUCGGUAUCCGGCCUGAGAGGGCGGACGGACACACUGGGACUGAGACACGGCCCAGACUCCUACGGGAGGCAGCAGUGGGGAAUUGUUCGCAAUGGGCGCAAGCCUGACGACGCAAUGCCGCGUGGAGGAUGAAGGUCUUCGGAUUGUAAACUCCUGUUGCCAGGGACGAAUGGCUUCGACCUAAUACGUCGAAGUAUGACGGUACCUGGUGAGGAAGCCCCGGCUAACUCUGUGCCAGCAGCCGCGGUAAUACAGAGGGGGCGAGCGUUGUUCGGAAUUACUGGGCGUAAAGGGCGCGUAGGCGGCCCGCUAAGUCGAACGUGAAAUCCCCAGGCUCAACCUGGGAACUGCGUCCGAUACUGGCAGGCUUGAAUCCGGGAGAGGGAUGUGGAAUUCCAGGUGUAGCGGUGAAAUGCGUAGAUAUCUGGAGGAACA
rnacentral:rRNA from 1 species